UGGUUAUGCCUACCUUUGAGCUAUUCACACAUUUUUAUUACAUGCAAGAAUCUUUAGGGUGAAGAGCAAUUGGCUGAGAUUGACUGGGUAAUCAAGAUUAUAAACGGUAUUGGAAUUGGAUGAAAUUUCUACCACUGUUCCAAUGAACUACUGAUUUUAUCAUUGCUUCCAGUUCUUUUCCAUGGGAAUAAUCAGAGCAGUGCACUCCAGAGAACUUGGUUUCAUAUAAAAGCUUUUAUU
rnacentral:lncRNA from 1 species